rnacentral:rRNA from 1 species
CGUAACACGUGAGGAACUUGUCCCGGUCUCUGGGAUAACAGUUGGAAACGACUGCUAAUACCGGAUGACGUCGGAGCGUCGCAUGGCGCGCUGACGAAAGGGUUACUGGAUCGGGAGAGCCUCGCGGCCUAUCAGCUUGUUGGUGGGGUAACGGCCUACCAAGGCAUCGACGGGUAGCUGGUCUGAGAGGAUGAUCAGCCACACUGGGACUGAGACACGGCCCAG